UACGUAGGGUGCGAGCGUUGUCCGGAAUUAUUGGGCGUAAAGGGCUCGUAGGCGGUCUGUCACGUCGGGAGUGAAAACACGGGGCUUAACCCCGUGCCUGCUUCCGAUACGGGCAGACUAGAGGUAUGCAGGGGAGAACGGAAUUCCUGGUGUAGCGGUGAAAUGCGUAGAUAUCAGGAGGAACACCGGUGGCGAAGGCGGUUCUCUGGGCAUUACCUGACGCUGAGGAGCGAAAGUGUGGGGAGCGAACAGG
rnacentral:rRNA from 1 species